rnacentral:rRNA from 1 species
ACAGGCUUAACACAUGCAAGUCGAGGGGCAGCAUGGUCUUAGCUUGCUAAGGCCGAUGGCGACCGGCGCACGGGUGAGUAACACGUAUCCAACCAGCCGUCUACUCUUGGACAGCCUUCUGAAAGGAAGAUUAAUACAAGAUGGCAUCAUGAGUCCGCAUGUUCACAUGAUUAAAGGUAUUCCGGUAGACGAUGGGGAUGCGUUCCAUUAGAUAGUAGGCGGGGUAACGGCCCACCUAGUCUUCGAUGGAUAGGGGUUCUGAGAGGAAGGUCCCCCACAUUGGAACUGAGACACGGUCCAAACUCCUACGGGAGGCAGCAGUGAGGAAUAUUGGUCAAUGGGCGAGAGCCUGAACCAGCCAAGUAGCGUGAAGGAUGACUGCCCUAUGGGUUGUAAACUUCUUUUAUAAAGGAAUAAAGUCGGGUAUGUAUACCCGUUUGCAUGUACUUUAUGAAUAAGGAUCGGCUAACUCCGUGCCAGCAGCCGCGGUAAUACGGAGGAUCCGAGCGUUAUCCGGAUUUAUUGGGUUUAAAGGGAGCGUAGAUGGAUGUUUAAGUCAGUUGUGAAAGUUUGCGGCUCAACCGUAAAAUUGCAGUUGAUACUGGAUAUCUUGAGUGCAGUUGAGGCAGGCGGAAUUCGUGGUGUAGCGGUGAAAUGCUUAGAUAUCUCGAAGAACUCCGAUUGCGAAGGCAGCCUGCUAAGCUGCAACUGACAUUGAGGCUCGAAAGUGUGGGUAUCAAACAGGAUUAGAUACCCUGGUAGUCCACACGGUAAACGAUGAAUACUCGCUGUUUGCGAUAUACAGCAAGCGGCCAAGCGAAAGCGUUAAGUAUUCCACCUGGGGAGUACGCCGGCAACGGUGAAACUCAAAGGAAUUGACGGGGGCCCGCACAAGCGGAGGAACAUGUGGUUUAAUUCGAUGAUACGCGAGGAACCUUACCCGGGCUUAAAUUGCAGAUGAAUUACGGUGAAAGCCGUAAGCCGCAAGGCAUCUGUGAAGGUGCUGCAUGGUUGUCGUCAGCUCGUGCCGUGAGGUGUCGGCUUAAGUGCCAUAACGAGCGCAACCCUUGUUGUCAGUUACUAACAGGUUCCGCUGAGGACUCUGACAAGACUGCCAUCGUAAGAUGUGAGGAAGGUGGGGAUGACGUCAAAUCAGCACGGCCCUUACGUCCGGGGCUACACACGUGUUACAAUGGGGGGUACAGAGGGCCGCUACCACGCGAGUGGAUGCCAAUCCCAAAAACCUCUCUCAGUUCGGACUGGAGUCUGCAACCCGACUCCACGAAGCUGGAUUCGCUAGUAAUCGCGCAUCAGCCACGGCGCGGUGAAUACGUUCCCGGGCCUUGCAAU